AAAAUAUAAACUAAAAUGCACGCUGUGCUAAAAUCACGAGAACCGGAAGUUUACGUUUCCAAGGAUAACACUGAUGGUUGGAAAAUGUCAGGUUUACCGAGGGAAGUUUUAAAAUGGAUUCAGAGCCUUGAUUUAACUUGGCAAGUGAAAACACCAAAAUGGGAUAUUACAAAUGGCUACCUGAUAGCAGAGAUCUUCUCAUGGUACUUCCCACAAGAUAUACAGAUGCACUCUUACAACAACGGUAGAUCACUAGACUCGAAACAGAAGAACUGGGAUCUUCUAAAUAAUUUUAUCAAACGACAUAAGCUGGACAUCCCUGCAGACAUUGUAGAUGGAACAAUACAUUGUAAAGAGGGCGCUGCAGCAUUAUUACUGGAAAGAAUGUAUGAAAUACUCACAAAUAGAAUAUCUGCAAGUAUAAGAAAAAUUCCACCAGAAUUUGAGGCAGACUUCACAGAUCGUGGAUACCAGAAUAAAUUACCGAUGCAUGCUCGCUCAACUGCCACACAGUCUGUCAAAAAUAACCUCAGGAUUACAGAAAUACAAGCUGAUUCUAGUCUUAUACUUAAUUCACAAAAGGCUCAGAAAAUAAUCAAUGAACAUAUAGAUCACAGACGUUUAGAGCGUAGUGAAAAUCCAAACCGGUUUAAUAUCAAACCUUCAAUAGGUGAAUCCAGCUUCCGUAAUCCAUUACCACAGAGACAAGAAGAGGGCAAUCAGCAGGAGACAGAAGGUCGAGAACCAGAGAGAACACAAAGCCCAAUAUCAAGAGAGACAAGUGUACAUUUUAAAGAAGUUCAAGUGAAACAGCUGGACAAAAAUGCACUGUAUAACAUGCCUAUCCAAGGAUACUGAACACAGAAAUUUGUUUUCAAUACAUUUGCUAUGAAACUUUUUAUUGUUUAUUAAAUUGCCACAAAGUUUUGUUUAAUAUCAGUUCAUAGACUUGAAACUAAACUGCAUUUUAACACUUACAUUAACUAAUGCUUAAAUAUUGGGAAAAAAAAUAAGUUGUAAAAUGAACAAUUUCAUUAAUCUUUGUUGUCAUUAAUUGAAAAAGACAUUUUAUAUUUAUAUUUUGUUUUCAGACUUUUUAUCAAAUCUUUAAGAAUUAUUCUAAACAAUGGCUAGACAGCUUGUUUUGUUGAAAACAAGUUUGUUGGGCUAGCUGCUUUUAUGGACUUGUUGAUGAUUCUAAUAGAUGGCAAACUUGACCAGCCUUUUAAAGAAACUGCCAUUCUACUUUGUUUAUGUUUAUGAUAUGUAAUCUUUGUGAACUUGAUGUAUAGAAUAAGCUGUCUCUCAUAUAACAAUAUUACACAAUUAUGGUAUUUCUGGUUUUAAGUUUUAAACAAAAUCAUAGUUCCAAUUUCAUUUUCACAUAUAAAUGCAUCUGUUAUGUUCAAUAUGCAUAAUUUUCAGUUAAGCUAAACUUGAAACUAUUUUUUAGGUGGUUUACUCUAAGAUAAAACAGGAACAAUAGUGGUCUUCUGACAUUUCAUCAAGAGUAAUCAUUUACCCACGUAACUGCCAAAUUUUGAGGGAUAAUUAGAUUUAGCGUUGUCCAUUCAUCUGUGCAUGUUUGCAUGCACCGGUACCUUGUCUGCCUAUCUAAAAUUGAAAAUUAUUUUGAUUCAAAAAGAUUUUAGCUAGAAUCACCAAAACGCACAUAAUUAUUGAUUCGCACAUGAUAUUGGCUCACAUUUAGAAUUAUCUCCCUUAACCCAGAAAAGGCAGAGAUUUUUGCUUUGAUUAGGUGAAAGAGGAACUUUUGACUUUAUCCUAGUAACCUUUAGAUGAAUCUGCAUGAAAUUUUACACAAUGCAGUUCAUGACAGGCAAUGGUGCAUGAGCAACAUUCGACAGGAUCACUUCAGUAACUUCAGAGUUCAGAGAUGGACCUUCAUCGAAUUUUAAACUUCAUUUGUUUAAAAGUCAUAAAUGUAUCUAAAAAUUAAAUAUCUUUCAAAAUAUAGUCCCCUCAUCACAAACCAACCUAAUUGGCAAGGGAUAUAAAUUUGCUGAAUUUACUUUUAUUUCUUAGUAUUGUCUCUUACAUUAUUACAUCAGCCCCAUCCAUCUCCUGCCUACUCAAAAUGAGGGAUCUAGGGCCAUCUUGACCCUCUUGUUCAUAAUCACAAAUAUCAGUUUCAGUGCAAAGUCAUUUAUUUGCAAUGUGUGAUACUGAUGUUUCUUUGUUUUUAUCUUUUUAUUUGUUGUGAGGAUAUUUUAUUUUGUUUUCUUUUUUCAUCUUAGUUCAUUGAUCAUUGGUUUCAUCAUGAAUUGUGAUGUAAAUUUUAUUAUAUGAAUAAAUUAUAUAUAUUUUA
rnacentral:misc_RNA from 1 species